GCACUCAACCGAAUAUAAUAUUGUCAGCAUAUAUUGUCAGUCAGGCACUGACAAUAUCAGUGACAAUUUUAAAUAUUUGACAUUGCAUCGGGAAUAUGUUGAGUUAUUGAUUAAAUAUUAUUGAAAUAUAGUGUAUUUGAUAAAUAAUUGAUUUAAAACGUGAACUUAAUAAAAAGUUAUUUAUUGUGUAUUAUUUGUGGAAGAUCCAAGCAGAGAAUACAUCAGGAUAAUAAUCUGUGAUCCAAGUAUUUUGUUAGAGAUGUUCAAAAUUGUAAGCGUUCCAUAACAAUAUAUUAUUAAAAAAUCACUUUAACACUUUUCCUCUGUUCUCGAUUGAGUAUUAGUCUUUGUUGUACAAAUAAAUUAUUACAAUCACGGAAUACAUAGUUAGUGAAACAAAUAUCACAUUUAUGAACUGAAUUAAUAAUUUCCAAUUAUAAAAAUAACAGUUAUCCAAGAACAUUCAAAACCCAUCUCUUGAAAUUAAUGAUGACAUUUUCAAGUAGAAUGACAUUCUAGUAAUGUUUAUAUAUCCAUACCAGUGUGAAUUUUACUACGCGUAAUUUGCCGUGUAAAGACAGAAAAAGUAGGGAUACACGUAAAAUAUUUGCGAAUUAUGUACCCAUAGCCUUAAUGGAAAAACAUGAUUCGCCAAAAAUGUAACUUACGUUACUUUGCCAAAAAUGUAUCGAUAUGGUAACGCUGGGCGCUUAAGGAAUUUUUAGGAUCGUUGAAACCAAAAUUUUUAAUUUUUUUAAAAUAUUUAUUUGAGAAUAUUUUCAUCGUCUGGUGUGGUAUCCUAUAAAACAAUUAACGCACAAACCAACGUUGCACUUUUUACACAUCGUUCGUCCAGAUGUUGUACAUCUGUCUCCAGCACAUCGCCUUCUACUGCUCGAUGUAACAAAUGGUCGACGCGAUCAAAACAUGUAAGUUCCGUCUAUGUAGACUAGGUCUUCCUGUAUAUAAGGGACGACUUCCAUAUCUUGCGAGAACUUGGGCCAAUUCUCUCCUAAACGAUAGCAAGGAUAUAUUUUUUUUAUAUAAAUGCCAUGAAUUAUGGACUGCAACAUCCAUGUUACAAUUUGCCAGUACCAUCUUUCACUGCAAAUUGCUACUCGGUAGGUUGAAACACCUUGACCCAUCCAGUCGGUACCCACCAUAUUUUGUUGUUUCAGCAAUAAAGCGAGGCAGACUUACUUGAAUGUGGCCUUUUUCUUCAUGAGAAAACCUUUUUACCGUGCCCAAUGCUGAACCAUCACAACUCGUAGAUGCUAUUGUAAUAACAUAGUUAUCUUUCCAUCGCACCAGUAAAACUAUCGCUUCCGCUAACAAUAAUCCACGACUGAAAAAGAAUAAGAUUGACUCCGUAAGCGCCCACCCCAACCAUAUGGUAACAGCGUACUUUGACUAUUCCUACCGAAUUCGCUACAUUUAAUUGUUGAUAAAAUACAACAAUUUAUAAUAAGUUGGGGUAUAAUAAAUUUAGUUUUUUUUUAAAUAAUAUGCAAAUAUAGUUACAACAAUUUAUGAUAAGUUGGGGUAUAAUAAAUUUAGUUUUUUUUAAAUAUGCAAAUAUAGUUACUAGAAGACUACCAAAAAUUGCUUAUACAAAACGGCCGUCCAUCUUUUUCUAUAAAUUUAAACCACACUGUCAUAAUAUUAGGUCUGGAUCCCGCGUAUGAAAAAAAAAGUUGAUUAAUAGCAAGCUGAAUAUUUGCUAAUUGCUUAAGGGUGUCUAGUCGGUAAACUUUGAUAUAUGGGAACACUGUGUAACAGUGGCAGUUUUAAUUGUGGAACAGGUGAAAAAUUUGGAACGGUCAGACCACGAAAACGGCACAUUUAUUUUGUCCGACAGAACAGACUUAAACUCUUAAUGCAAAAAUCAGACUGCUAUUUAUCACCUGUCAUUUGACAAAUUCUACAUGUUCCACUCAUUAAAACGCCCGUUUGGUGAUAAAUAGCAGUCUGAUUUUUGCAUGUGAGUUUAAUCUCUGUUCGGAGAGGUUAAGUCUGUUUUGUCGGACAAAAUACAUAUGCCGUUUUCGUGGUCUGACCGUUCCAAUUUUUUAACCUGUUCCACAAUUAAAACUUCCCCUGUCCCCAUAUAUCAAAGUUUGUCCAACUAGACAAACUUUCGUCCUUAAGCUAUUAACAAAUUUUUAGCUUGCUAUUAAUCAACUUUUUUUCAUACGCGGGAUCCAGGUAUAUAUGAUUAUCUCUCGGCUGUUGAGAAAAGGCUAAAAAACGAAUCCGUUACGUUUUAUAGAUGCCUGAAGUAUUCCUAGAAACGAUAGUUCUCAAAAUAUGUGGCCAACUAAUUCCAUGGGCAUACCGCAGAAUUUUUAAAAAUCAUGUUUUACCUUACCAUAUGGUAAGGCUGGGCGCUAAUGGGUUAAUAGACUCUGAUGGGCAGGGUAUGUGAUACACAGCAAUGACAAUCUCCUUAUAAACAAUGUGUUCUGGGAAAGGCCAGAUGGAAGGUCUGUAGGACGGCCUAGAAAAAGGUGGAAAGAUGCAAUCAACAAAGAUCUAUAGUGGCACAGGACUGACAAACAUGCAAGGCAAUAGUAAACCCGGCAAAGACGCACGAAGAGUUGUAACGGCAUUGAUGAUGAAGAGUUUCUUCAGAAAGGGAAAAUUUAGCGAGGUGUAAAUUCAAUACAUUAAGAUGGGCAGAUGCAAUAAUGUCAUACACCACUUGUUUUGGAAAGGCCACAUAGGAGAUCUGUGAAGGCCUAGAAAAAAGUUAAAAGAUCGAGAUGAUCUGAAGAAAAUGGGAAAUAGCAAUACUGAAUGCGGCAAAGAUUCAAGAAGAUUUGUAAAGCCAUUGAUGAUGAACAUGUGCUGUUACAUUGUCUGAACGUUAUUCUAGGAUGCAAGUGGUCUAUGCUACUCUGCUGAAUUUUUCAACAUCUUAUGUUAUUUGACCAUCAUAUUAUGCUUUCUCAUGUUCCACAAAUCUUGCCAGUGGAUUAAUGUACUCCAUAUACUUUUCUCAAUAAGGCUCAUAAUUUGAAUUUCAAAGCCUGCUCUUCUUAUAUCUGGACAAUGAUUUGAGCGAUUUUCUUUGAUCAUGGAUCAAGUCAUUCAUGACAUCUUUCUGUAGAAACUUUGGAAUUAGUUCGCUGGAGAGGUAAUAAAGGUUUAUACAAAAAUCUAGUUUUCUUUUUAAACAAAGAAUGUAUUUUCCAAUUUUCCCUGUAAAAAAUUAUAGUAGGCAAUUUAAAUGAAACUAAACGUUAUGAAACAAUUUGUAUCCAUCGUUUAUAUGCACUCAAAAAUCAUACAGCACUGUUACAAAAUGAAUUUCUACAAGAUCAUUAUGUUAAGUAGACAAACAGUUCAUAAAACAUUCUCUGUAGUAAAAAUAUAUCGAAUUGAGGCGCAACCACCCAAAUUGCCGUUUAAUUGUAAGUUGGAAUGAACCUAUGUCAAAUGUCAAUUACAAAA
rnacentral:lncRNA from 1 species